rnacentral:lncRNA from 1 species
CAACGUUUAUAGGCUACCUAGUAUCAUAAAUUUUCUAGUCUAAAAUGAUACAUGGUUUUGCACAAGGUUUCAAAAACAAUAUGUGAUUAUGUGUAAAGAAUUUUUCAGCAGGAAGCUUGUUUACAAAAGUAGAGUGCAAUAAGGGAGACUGGCUCCUCUUAAAAGGCCUUUGGUAAAUCUUAGCCUUGGGCCCAGAGCUUUCACAGGGACGUUUACAUUUCAAAGUAGUCAGAUCCUAGGGAAAGUCCAUUACAGUCCAAAAGGUAGGUAUGAAUGGUACUAAUUAGGUUCCCUGAAAAUCACGUGGCUGGAAAGGGGAGAGAAGGGGAACCCAGGCACUAAUUAUCAUGGAUAGUGUCCUUAGUAUUUUGUAUCCAGGCCUGGGUUAGUUACCCAUUACAAAACUACUUAAUGCCCUUCGGUGACCCCACUAUUCCUGUGGCAUUUCAAUUUGUUCUGCUUUUCUUUGCAGCUAUUGUUAAGGAUGUGAGGUUAUAUGCUUUUCUUGUCUCUGUUGCUCUUUCCCAUUUCCCCUCCUUUGGUUCUGGUUCAGGGUUGGGGAACUCUGUCCUUAUUUUCUGUUCCAGUAAUUUAAGUCUCCAGGUUUCAUAUUGUCUAAUAUUGGGUCUUAGAGCAUUUUUUCUAUCACACACCUCUCCAGUAUGCCCUUCCUUCACUGUGUUGUAGAGAGAUCGGUGACCUCUGCCUACCUCUGCUCUGCCACCUUCUUCCCCUGUCUAAUGUCUCUUCUCUUCAAAUUUCAGGACUCUUUCCUUUAUUCUCAGAAAGGUGGCCAGGAUGGCUUGGAGACAGACCCAGAAGACCAGGUUUCUAUAGUUUUCUAACAUCAAAUCUCUAUGCAAAUUCUGAUGAGCAGGGUUGUCCAAGCAUUCCCUUUCUUCUAGAGAGAAAUCAGUGGCUACAUCCGAAUGUCAACAGUUCCAUUUCCUGGCUUCUUGUGUGUCUAAGCAACCUCUACAAAACCUCUAGCACCAUUUCCUGACUUUAAGAAUGCAGAGCUCUCCCCUAUAGAUCUUUCAGCUCCUGUGUAACAGAGAAAGCUGGGCCUCCUGAGUAUAGGGAAGGAAGCCUAGAAAGAAAUCUGAAGAAUAUAUAUUUUUUUAAAUGGUGCUAGGGAUUAAAAUGUGGGUCUUAUGCCUGCUAAGCAAAUGCUGAACUUUACCCCUAGCCCCUUUGAUCAUUUUUUAAAAACAUUUAUUUUUUAGAACUAGUUGGACACAAUACCUUUAUUUAUUUAUUUUUAUGUGUGCUGAGGAUCAGGGCCUUGCACGUGCUAGACAAGUGCUCUACCGCUGAGCCACAAUCACAGCCCCCGCUUUUGAUCAUUUUUGAGUAAGUAUUCAUACAAGAUUUAACUAUAGUUCGUUCAAUUUUUUAAAAUAUGCUUAUAUAGUUGUGCCAUUGAUUGAGUAGACUAUUUCUUUUCACUGAACUGUUUUUGUACCUUUGUCAAAAGUUAAUGGACCAUAUUUUGGGUGGUUUUGGGCUGCCUGUUUUGUCCACUGUUAUAUAUGUUUAUCCAUUCUCUAAUACCACACUUUCUUGAUUUAUAGAU